rnacentral:rRNA from 1 species
UACAGAGGGGGCAAGCGUUGUUCGGAAUUACUGGGCGUAAAGGGCGCGUAGGCGGCCUUCUAAGUCGAACGUGAAAUCCCCGGGCUCAACCCGGGAACUGCGUCCGAUACUGGAAGGCUUGAAUCCGGGAGAGGGUGGCGGAACUCCUGGUGUAGUGGUGAAAUGCGUAGAGAUCAGGAAGAACACCCGUGGCGCAAGCGGCCACCUGGCAGAGCACUGACGCUGAGGCACGAAAGCGUGGGUAGCGAACCGG